AGAAGCAAUGAAAUGAAAUGAAAUGGGGUUUAACGUCCUACUCUUCUGCACCUAACCUGGGCUAAUUGAAGACGGGCAUACGCCAUACAGUCUGCUAUGAGGGAAAUUUUGCCUGGGCAGCGGCGCUACGGCCUACUCUUAUAUCGAAUUCCAUCUGCCAAGGGAUCUUUUACGUGCACGCCAAUGUGUACACGGGACCUCGGUUUUUCGUCCCAUCCGAACGACUAGGCAGCUGUCCUUGUCAGGCCCUCCGUUCUGCAUCACUGACAAGGGGAAAUCACGCCGGAAAAUCGAGAUGAACUUUCUCGGCCAAUGCAGGGAUCGAACACCCGACCUCCAGGCUAGCGAGCCAGCGCCUUGCCCACUUAGCCACGUGAUCCCCCCAUGGCAGAAGCGUACGACGUCCUGGAAUUUCAAGAACUUGACGGUGUAAUAGAUCUUUUCUUUGCUAAAGAUUUGUUUGAGACAUCUCAACCUGUCGUUCCAGUAGCAUCCGCGGAACAUCCGAACAAAACACAAUUCGCGCCAGGCAUUUUGUUAGUGCGAGCAGAAACCGGA